UCAACGUUUUAGUCCUUUCACUCCUUUGUCUGUUAAGUCGAAAAGUUUAAACCUGUCAAAGGAAAGAAAAUAAACUUUAUUUCCAAUUUUGCCUUUUAAUCCCUUCGUCGUAGUCUUGCUCACCUGAACGCCCUGCCUUCUAAUCCCUUCCUCAUAGUCUAGCUCACCUGAAUGCCCACAUCCUUUCAUCCCUCAGAUUCUUGCGAUCAAGCAGCAGCAAUUCCUACUACGGAUACAGUUGAAUGCUCUCAAAUUUUCAUUUCUUUGAUCAUUUUCGGCUUCGGAGUUGGAUAAACGCCAUACUUCAUUGACAAAAUUUUACUUUUGACUGGCAAAUAAACCAUUGGACAGGCUUGAAUUUGGCUCCGGAAGUGAGCAUAGGCGUGAAUCAAGUCAAAAAAAAUCUCUCUGGAAGUUGAACCUAAAGGGGCUUCGAUUUGGCUCUCAAUUUGCUAUUGAUGUUGUAGCUGCUCUGAUUUGAUAAGGUAGGAUUGAGAGUGAGAGCGAGAGUUAAGAUGAGAGGAUUUCUAGAAUAGUAAAUGUUGCGUGUUGAUAAAGGCAGGAUUUUUGUACACUUGAUGAUCUUAACCCAUAAAUAUACCUCUAGAGAUGGGAUUUUUCUACUUCUAUUGAGAUUGGUAAGCGAACAAGGAAUUUGAUUAUGAUAUUAUGUUUAAAAUUUCAUUCUCUUGUUUAUAUCCCUUUGGCAAUACGGGGAUGCUCAAUCCAUUGAUGCCCAUUAACACAACAUUCUCACUGGUUGUUGAUACGGGUCAUUUGAAUGAAGGGAAAUGAAUUACUGAAAUGAUGAAUUAAGAUAAGAAAGAUAGGAACCUGCAACAACUUUGUCCAAUGGAGAAAAAGCUAUUAGCUGGAAUUUGUUAGGCAUUUCGAUUAUUGUAGAAACUGUUUCUCUUGUAAAUCAGUGUAAGAACUUGUAAGUGAAUUGUUACAAAUAGCAAAGCAAUUAGUUGUUUUUUUGGCUAGUCUAAGAAAUUUUCUCUGUUCCUUUUUAUGUUCUUUCUUAGGGAUUCCCUGUAAUUUCUCAAUUCUUGGAAUAAAUCCUUAGCUCUAA